UACAGAGGUCUCAAGCGUUUGUUCGGAUUCAUUGGGCGUAAAGGGUGCGUAGGUGGCGCUGUAAGUCGGGUGUGAAAUUUCGGAGCUUAACUCCGAAACUGCAUUCGAUACUGCGGUGCUUGAGGACUGGAGAGGAGACUGGAAUUCAUGGUGUAGCAGUGAAAUGCGUAGAGAUCAUGAGGAAGACCAGUGGCGAAGGCGGGUCUCUGGACAGUUCCUGACACUGAGGCACGAAGGCCAGGGGAGCAAACGGG
rnacentral:rRNA from 1 species